rnacentral:rRNA from 1 species
CCUACGGGCGGCAGCAGUGAGGAAUAUUGGUCAAUGGCCGAAAGCCUGAACCAGCCAAGCCGCGUGAAGGAAGACGGCUCUAUGGGUUGUAAACCUCUUUUGUCGGAGAACAAAGCCCUCCACGUGUCCCUAACUGCGUGUACCCUAUGAAUAAGCAUCGGCUAACUCCGUGCCAGCAGCCGCGGUAAUACGGAGGAUGCGAGCGUUAUCCGGAUUUAUUGGGUUUAAAGGGUGCGUAGGUGGUCUCUUAAGUCAGCGGUGAAAGUUUCGGGCUCAACCACAGAAGUGCCGUUGAAACUGGAAGACUGGAGUGUGGUAGAGGUAGGCGGAAUGCGCGGUGUAGCGGUGAAAUGCAUAGAUAUCGCGCAGAACUCCGAUUGCGAAGGCAGCGUACCGGACCAAAACUGACGCUGAGGCACGAAAGCGUGGGGAUCAAACAGGAUUAGAUACCCCAGUAGUC